UACGUAGGGUGCGAGCGUUGUCCGGAAUUAUUGGGCGUAAAGAGCUUGUAGGCGGUUUGUCGCGUCUGCCUGUGAAAAUCCGGGGCUCAACCCCGGACUUGCAGUGGGUACGGGCAGACUAGAGUGUGGUAGGGGAGACUGGAAUUCCUGGUGUAGCGGUGAAAUGCGCAGAUAUCAGGAGGAACACCGAUGGCGAAGGCAGGUCUCUGGGCCACUACUGACGCUGAGGAGCGAAAGUGUGGGGAGCGAACAGG
rnacentral:rRNA from 1 species